CGCGGGGGCAACCCUGGCGACGAGUGGCGGACGGGUGAGUAAUACGUAGGAAUCUGCCCAUUUGUGGGGGAUAACCCGGCGAAAGCCGGGCUAAUACCGCAUACGCUCUACGGAGGAAAGCCGGGGACCGCAAGGCCUGGCACUGACGGAUGAGCCCAAGCCGGAUUAGCUAGUUGGCGGGGUAACGGCCCACCAAGGCGACGAUCCGUAGCUGGUCUGAGAGGACGAUCAGCCACACCGGAACUGAGACACGGUCCGGACUCCUACGGGAGGCAGCAGUGGGGAAUAUUGGACAAUGGGGGAAACCCUGAUCCAGCGACGCCGCGUGGGUGAAGAAGGCCUGCGGG
rnacentral:rRNA from 1 species